rnacentral:misc_RNA from 1 species
GAAAUGCGAUACGUAGUGUGAAUUGCAGAAUUCAGUGAAUCAUCGAAUCUUUGAACGCACAUUGCGCCCUUUGGCAUUCCAAAGGGCAUGCCUGUUCGAGCGUCAUUUGUACCCUCAAGCUUUGCUUGGUGUUGGGCGUUUUUUGUCUUUGGCUCGCCCAAAGACUCGCCUUAAAACGAUUGGCAGCCGGCCUACUGGUUUCGCAUCGCAGCACAUUUUUGCGCUUGCAAUCAGCAAAAGAGGACGGCAAUCCAUCAAGACUCCUUCUCACGUUUGACCUCGGAUCAGGUAGGGAUACCCGCUGAACUUAAGC